CUUUCGCGGGGAGGAAGGCGAUGAGGUUAAUAACCUUGUCGAUUGACGUUACCCGCAGAAGAAGCACCGGCUAACUCCGUGCCAGCAGCCGCGGUAAUACGGAGGGUGCAAGCGUUAAUCGGAAUUACUGGGCGUAAAGCGCACGCAGGCGGUCUGUCAAGUCGGAUGUGAAAUCCCCGGGCUCAACCUGGGAACUGCAUUCGAAACUGGCAGGCUAGAGUCUUGUAGAGGGGGGUAGAAUUCCGGGUGUAGCGGUGAAAUGCGUAGAGAUCUGGAGGAAUACCGGUGGCGAAGGCGGCCCCCUGGACAAAGACUGACGCUCAGGUGCG
rnacentral:rRNA from 1 species